rnacentral:rRNA from 1 species
CGGGGAAUAUUGGGCAAUGGGGGCAACCCUGACCCAGCGACGCCGCGUGGGGGAAGACGGCCCUCGGGUUGUAAACCUCUUUUGCACGGGAAGAAGGAAGUGACGGUACUGUACGAAUAAGUCCCGGCUAACUACGUGCCAGCAGCCGCGGUAAUACGUAGGGGACGAGCGUUGUCCGGAAUUACUGGGCGUAAAGGGCGCGCAGGCUGUGCUGCAAGUCAGCUGUUAAAUGUCUGGGCUUAACCCGGGCAUGCGGUUGAGACUGCGGUGCUGGAGUGCUGUAGAGGCAAGUGGAAUUCCCAGUGUAGCGGUGAAAUGCGUAGAUAUUGGGAAGAACACCGGUGGCGAAGGCGACUUGCUGGGCAGCAACUGACGCUGAGGCGCGAAAGCCAGAGGAGCAAACGG